rnacentral:rRNA from 1 species
UACGGGGGGGGUAAGCGUUGUUCGGAAUUACUGGGCGUAAAGGGCUCGUAGGCGGCCAACUAAGUCAGACGUGAAAUCCCUCAGCUUAACUGGGGAACUGCGUCUGAUACUGGAUGGCUUGGAUUCGGGAGAGGAAUGCGGAAUUCCAGGUGUAGCGGUGAAAUGCGCAGAUAUCAGGAGGAACACCGGUGGCGAAGGCGGGUCUCUGGGCCGAAACUGACGCUGAGGAGCGAAAGCGUGGGGAGCAAACAGG